rnacentral:rRNA from 1 species
AUGAUGACUCUUGGCAACGGAUAUCUCGGCUCUUGCAUCGAUGAAGAACGUAGCGAAAUGCGAUACCUGGUGUGAAUUGCAGAAUCCCGUGAACCAUCGAGUCUUUGAACGCAAGUUGCGCCCGAGGCCACCCGUCGAGGGCAUGCCUGCCUGGGCGUCAUGC